rnacentral:lncRNA from 1 species
UACUCCCGUAUAUAGAGCCUGUUAUGUUCUACUCCUCUGCUUAAGCCAUGUUAUUUAUAGCCAUGUUAUGUUCUACUCCCUGUGUAUAGUCAUGUUAUUUUCUUACUCCCUGUAUAUAGCCAUGUUUAUUUAUAGCCAUGUUAUUUAUAGCCAUGUUAUUUAUAGUCAUGUUAUUUUCUACUCCCUGUAUAUAGUCAUGUUAUUUUCUAUGUUAUUUUCUACUCCCUGUAUAUAGUCAUGUUAUUUUCUACUCCCUGUAUAUAGCCAUGUUAUUUAUAGUCAUGUUAUUUUCUACUCCCUGUAUAUAGCCUGUUAUUUAUAGCCAUGUUAUUUAUAGUCAUGUGUAUUUU